rnacentral:lncRNA from 1 species
GAUACAAGCAUGCUUGGUGAUCUCAAAUCACUCAAACAAGUCCCAAACCUAGGGUUAAGGAGCCAAACAUGCUAUGAUCCUUGAGGCAAUGCACUUGUGCAAUAACAUGAUGCCAUGAGGGAUCUUAGGGUCAAAAUUAGGGUCUUAUAGUGUUGUUUUUGUUUUUGUUUUUGUUUUUGUUUUUGUUUUUGUUUUUGUUUUUGUUUUUG